rnacentral:rRNA from 1 species
UACGAAGGGGGCAAGCGUUGUUCGGAAUUACUGGGCGUAAAGGGCGCGUAGGCGGCUUAUCAAGUCAGGCGUGAAAUUCCCGGGCUCAACCUGGGGGCUGCGCUUGAUACUGAUUGGCUUGAAUGCGGGAGAGGAUAGUGGAAUUCCCAGUGUAGAGGUGAAAUUCGUAGAUAUUGGGAAGAACACCAAUGGCGAAGGCAGCACUCUGGGACGUGACUGACGCUGAGACGCGAAAGCGUGGGGAGCAAACAGG